rnacentral:pre_miRNA from 1 species
GGACCGUUCGCACUCUGGUUUCCAAUAAUAUAUUAUAAUAUAUUAUUGGCUUCAGAGUGCGAACGCC